rnacentral:snRNA from 1 species
GUGCUUACUUCAGAAGCACAUAUACUCCAGUUGCAAUGAUAAGAGAUUAGCAUGACCUCUGCACAAGGAUGACAUACAAAUUUGAGAAGCGGUCCAUAUUU